rnacentral:lncRNA from 1 species
UCAUCCAUCUUUAAAACUAUACCUGUGUUGUAUAUAUCCAUGCAUAUAUUUAGUUGUUUAUCUAUCUAACAACUAGUUAAAUUCUUUACUUGACUAUUCUUAUCUCCAUCUUUCUUGUGUUCACCGUUUCUUGAGAGGUAGAAGCACAUGGUUAUAUAUGAUGAAGCGGUAUACGUCUAUGUAUUUCAUCUAUUCAUAUGUUUAGAGAUCUAUAGUAUGUCACCUACAUUGUACAGCACUUCAUUACACCUCGAUAACUAAUCAUAACACUUUACUCCCGAAACAAAACAGCAGAUCCCAAUUCUUCUAAUUUUUGUGUUUACUUUCAUGCACUUGACAGGGUGAGGCAUUCCUCUGGCGCACCGCUCACGUGACGAGUAGAUUUUCAAGCCGAAUGGCGACGCUGGAAACAUAUCCAUCGGAGCGAAACGAAGUGGGCAGAUGAGUGGUUGAUGAGAGAUUAUGGUGGUGGGGGGUGCUUUUUCACACUCCAGAUCCAAUCCCAAGCUCAAAUGCGCAAAUGAGCGCAGGGGCGAUGAUUCCAAAGCAGGGCUCAGGCUGAGCGUGCUCCCAAAAGUUGUGGCCGCGGAUCGAAGUUAUCCUCAGAUUUUUGAUGCCCCCGUGCCAGGCAUGACUGAGUGUAAGAGAGUGAUGCACAAUCUGUACCCUCCAUCUCCAUCCCCAUCUCCAUCGCCGCCUCUCCCUUAGAACACCCUUGCCCUGUAAAUCUCAUCCCCCGUUGUGCAUGCUCACACAGGGAUGUGAAUUCGUUUGGUAGAAUUGAAUUCACCGCCAGUAAACUCCCCCAUUCUAAUAUGAAGGUAAAUUAUACAAAUUAAUAUAUUAAAGAAAUUAAUAUAUAAGGUCUCGGUCGUUAGUUUUCAUCGCUCAAGUCAAAAGAGGCGCCGAAUGUUUGAAUUUGACUAUGCCGAUGCAGGUAAUUUUGCGUCCAUUUGCAAGGGUCACUUGGUACCAAAAAGGACUCCCGUUUAGGGGCUGUAAUUGAUGCAGUAUUCUUCACUGCACCCACGACAACAAGAUGGAAUAUUGGGAACCAAGUUGCAGAUAAAAUCCAGCUUUGAAGCGAGGGAUCCAGAUUCCAAAAGUGGACGGGAAAGUAUCGUAAGGGUGUUGGAUAAUGACGUUGAUUAAAAGGGUAUUCUACGAAGAGCUAUGUAAGGCCAAAUGCUGCGGGAAGAGGGAGUAAAUUCAAGCCUCUGUCUACGACGAUCUUCCCAAAAGGUCGCUAUCCACUUGCGAUUGCCGUGUUCGUUAAUCCGGCAUUCAUCCAGGGUUCGUCUCUUUAGAAUGCUCUUGUAGGGCCGCUCUGUUUGCUUAGGUCGAGAGCUUCGCUACCUUCGUUUUGAUGUUGCUUUCCUCGGAUCCCCCGCGACGCACUCGGAGCUGAUCGUGCCCCGCGAUCCGCUCUUCAAUCUCACUGGCCUCUAUUUAAUCAUCACUUGCGUAUGCAGGAGGGUCAAAGCCCUCUGCUUGAGCACCCGGAGUCUACUUUGAAGGGAGUAGAGUCUGAAGCAGAGAGGGUCACUGUGCCGUCCCAGGCUGCAGGCUACAGAGGAAAUACUCUGUGGUGGAGUUGGUGUAAUUGCCGAUCUUCUUAAUUUGUCGACACUUUUCAGCCAGAGAGAGAGAGAGAGGCUGGGAGUUUUCUUCGUGGAAGAAUAUUUGGAAUUUUGCAGGAGCUGUUGUAGAUCAGCAGUAAUCUGCAAAUUUUCGGAACGGUGGGAGCAGCUGGAGGCCGGAGUUUACGAGGUCGUUGGCAAGCGGUCUAGGAAGGGUGCUUAUCCCCUCAUUGUGUCAUUAUCAAUCGAGCAAGAAUGGCUCUCAAGGCGAACAUGACACCCCAGCUUGCGGUCUUCGCUUCUCUUCCCUCUACAUUGAUUUCUUCGGGGAGCCGAUCCAUGAAGAUGAUGCCAUUGGGAGGCUUGAGGAAGCCAUUGCGGUGCACACGGCGUCGGAGGGCUGGUAUAGCGAGAGCAUCUGACAUGGCUGAGCCCGAGUCAGCUGGAGCUGGUAAAUCUCCCCCUUCAACAGCUACCCAUCUGUAUUAAAAUAAUCCAAGCUCAACUAGAAUUGUUCUCAUAAUUUUCAUCAUAAUCUCCGCACACCGCUUGGUCUUCAAUACUGUUCGUGUGAGUAAAUUUUACUUGGAUUGUUGUGCAGGUGGCUCUAAUGUAGUGGACUCCAACAUGAUGGUCCUGCGCAAGCGCAUCCAGCACAUCCGCAUCCAAGAGUCGAUCUACGACACGCCCGCGGACUGGUCGGAGUGGGAGCGCAAUGCAUACUCCAGCUACCGUGCCGACGUCUGCCUCUUGCUCAGCACUAUGCAAAGCCAGCUGCUGACGAUGCGCCCGGGCAUGGCCCUGUCCAUCGUAUCAAUCCUCAUGGCUGUCCUUCCUGUCAUGUCCAUCUUAUUCGUCUCCGCUGUGGGCACGCAGCUGUGGUCACUCCACUGCUCUUUGCUAGAAUUGGGCGCUACGCUUCACCAACUGAACUGACAUACUA